rnacentral:piRNA from 1 species
UCCNGGAAGUGCCCAUGAUGCGUAUAUGCUG